UGUGUAUGAUGAGAAAAAAAAAAAAAAAUUAUUUAACUUUCGUUCUUCUGUAUUUCACGAAAUGAUGAUAAUUUUUAUUCUGACACGA
rnacentral:snoRNA from 1 species